AGUUUUGAAUAGUCACCACCUGUUCUUUUGCCUCCAACUGCAAAUAAUUUGUAAAACAAAUUGAAGACUCUCUUUUCUGUAUACCCAAUUAAAUUUUUUGACAACGACGACUCUUUUUUGCAACUGGCAACUCCCACUUUCCUUAAAGUUCUUUAUCAAUCAUGAACGUAAUAAUACUUGCUGCAGGCUAUGGAACAAGACUUCAGAAUGAUAUUAUUAAUGACAAAACUGGUAAAUAUUCGAAUUUAUUAGAUGUACCAAAACCGUUACUCCCUAUCAAAAACGAUCAACCUCUCCUGUCGCUUUGGAUGGAAAUAAUUAAUGAAGUUGACAUUAUUAAUAAGGUUUACAUUGUAAUAAAUAGAAAGUACGAAGAUCAAUUUAGGCUGUGGGCAAAAGAUCAUCCAAAUAUAAUAUUAGUUGUGGAAAAUAGUUGCUCCAACGAGGAUAGAAGUGGAGCAGUUAAAUGUAUACAAUUAGCAUUGGAUUCGAUGGAAGAAUUAACAGAUGUCAAUGUUCUAGCAGGAGAUACACUCUUCAUGAAGGAUUUUUCACUUUCAAAAGCUAUUUGUCUUUUUAAGAAUAUAUCUGGAAAUAAAGAUAUAUCUCUCAUCUCGUAUUACAAUUGUUCAGACAACGAUGUCUCUAAAAGAGGAAUUCUAGAGGUCGACGACUCUGGUCACGUGCUGCAGUUUUUGGAAAAGCCAAAACCUUCAGUUACAACUUCUAGAAAAGCUUGUCCUUGUUUUUAUCUCCUGCAUCGAAAUCAUACAAAACUAAUUCAAAAAUUUCUGCACGAAAAGAGAGUAAGGGCUGUUUUCUGUUCUUUCUUAGAAGAGAGUACAGCUAUUUGAUUUUCCUUUAGCAUGAAGAUAUUUCAAAAAGAGACGCUCCCGGAAACUUUAUACCAUUUUUAAUAGAAAGGUAAAAGAAAUAAGGAUAGUAGACUUUUAAAAGAAAAGAUCCAUUUUAACUAAUCUUUCAGAGAGGAAGUUAACGCUUUUGAAAUUGGUGGAAGAUUCGAUGUUGGCGGAUUAGAGUCUUAUAUUCAUUGUAGAGAUUAUUUUACUAAUCGAUAAAUAAAUAGUUUAUAUAGUAAUAAAAUAGUAAUUACAACAGAAAAA
rnacentral:misc_RNA from 1 species